UCCUACGGGGGGCAGCAGUGAGGAAUAUUGGUCAAUGGCCGAGAGGCUGAACCAGCCAAGUCGCGUGAGGGAAGACUGCCCUAUGGGUUGUAAACCUCUUUUGUCAGGGAGCAACGCCGGCUACGUGUAGCCGGACUGAGAGUACCUGAAGAAAAAGCAUCGGCUAACUCCGUGCCAGCAGCCGCGGUAAUACGGAGGAUGCGAGCGUUAUCCGGAUUUAUUGGGUUUAAAGGGUGCGUAGGCGGACAGUCAAGUCAGCGGUAAAAAUGCGGUGCUCAACGCCGUACAGCCGUUGAAA
rnacentral:rRNA from 1 species